rnacentral:rRNA from 1 species
UGCCAGCCGCCGCGGUAAUACGAAGGGGGCUAGCGUUGUUCGGAAUUACUGGGCGUAAAGGGCGUGUAGGCGGCCAGGUCAGUCAGGCGUGAAAGCCCGGGGCUCAACCCCGGAAUAGCGCUUGAUACUGCUUGGCUUGAGACCGGAAGAGGGUAGUGGAAUUCCGAGUGUAGGGGUGAAAUCCGUAGAUAUUCGGAGGAACACCAGUGGCGAAGGCGGCUUUCUGGACCGAUACUGACGCUGAGACGCGAAAGCGUGGGGAGCAAACAGGAUUAGAUA